rnacentral:lncRNA from 1 species
UAGGUGUAUCCCAUUUCUAAUCAAAAUGUGCCUUUCCUUUAGGUAGGGAAUGUUCUAAAUGACUAAAGAGCACAAGUCUGUACCACCUCCUGCUCCUGGCAGCAUGGCUGGCUGAGGCAAGAGCAGCUGGUUGCUGGAUGCAAAGGUUUUGUUACCAGAAGAUCUCCCUGCAUUACAAUGCUUGUGUGAUCCACAGAAACUUGGAGGCUUCCAGGAAAAGUGAGCUUUAUCAUCAAGUAGAAGUUACAAGAACUCACCAAUAUGUAAGUAAGAGAAGGUAUAGUCUGGUAGUAAUUGUUUUUGAGAGAUGUACUUUAAAAAUUUCCAUCUUUAUUA